rnacentral:lncRNA from 1 species
CUGCCCGUAGGCUUGAUGUCCUUCCCCCACAACAUGCCAUGCUUGUCUGGUGGCACGGGGGGUUCCAGAAACAUGGGAAACCCGGGCCUGUAGCUGGCAUAUGGAAAAGAGGCCUGGAAAAGCACCACUCCUGUUCCCCAGAUGGAACCAGAUCCUGUUAAGAAACCCCAUUUGUGCCUUUGGAGAGACUGCCCUGAGCACACAGGCCCAGCAACCACCAUCUAUGACCCCCAGGACCUAAUCCUCUUCUACAUAGGGUUCAGUGCAUGGGAGUAUACACUGGGCUCGAUUCCUGCCCACUAGUCCCUGGCAGAUAUCCCAUGCCCACCUCAUUAAGAGAAUGAGGCCACACAAACACACCCAGAUUGUCAUGGUGAUGGAGUGGCUGGAGUCCUACCUGCCCACCCCUCAUUUGGUUCAGAACCAGCUGUCUGACCACAUCCCUACCCUGAGGUGGGACUUUGGGAACAUUGUCCAUCAGGGUCACUGACCACUUUUAAAGUUCCAGAAACAGAGUGCCAGCUGUUUCCCUGGAAGUUUGCUACAUGGGAUAAGCCAAGGGUUGCCUUCAGGAACAGGUUUUUCACCAUAUAGCUGCCCAAGGCCCAGGGCAUCCCCAAGUUCAUGUGAAGCCUGUCUUCCAUGUCCACAGCCCAUGCUGACCCCUCCUGGAACCACUGGAAUGCUUGUUUCUGGGCAUGUGAUAAGCCCAGACAGCUUCAGCCUUGCAGGACAACUAUGCACAUCUGGCAGCAGUAGCCACAGGGCCUAUAGAAAGAAGUUGGAGGUGAAACCAGAUGCUAUGAGAAUACUUUAUUAGGCAAAACCACAUACUAUAAAAGUGCUUCAAAAUGCAGCAGGAGGAGAAGUGAAGACCCAAAUGAACAAGUGCCUAGGCCACCUCCUCCUCAGCAUACUCCUCAAACUCCUCCUCAUCAGCUGUGGCAACCUGAUAUUGCUGAUAUUCAGACACAAGUUCGUUCAUGUUGCUCUAGGCCUCUGUGAACUGUCUCGUCCAUGCCCUCGCCCCUGUACCAGUGGAGGAAGGCCUUGUACCUAAACAUUGCUGUAAACUGCUCUGAGACAAGCUUAAAGAGUUCCUGGAUGGCCGUGUUGUUGCCAAUGAAA